rnacentral:rRNA from 1 species
GAUGAACGCUGGCGGCGUGCCUAAUACAUGCAAGUCGAGCGAACAGACGAGGAGCUUGCUCCUCUGACGUUAGCGACGGACGGGUGAGUAACACGUGGAUAACCUACCUAUAAGACUGGGAUAACUUCGGGAAACCGGAGCUAAUACCGGAUAAUAUAUUGAACCGCAUGGUUCAAUAGUGAAAGGCGGUUUUGCUGUCAAUUAUAGAUGGAUCCGCUCCGCAUUAGCUAGUUGGUAAGGUAACGGCUUACCAAGGCAACGAUGCGUAGCCGACCUGAGAGGGUGAGCGGCCACAAUGGAACUGAGACACGGACCAGACUCGUACGAGAGGCAGCAGUAGGGCAGCUUGCGCAAUGGGCGAAAGCCGGACGGAGCGACGACGCGUGAGUGAUGAAGGUCUUCGGAUCGUAAAACUCUGUUAUUAGGGAAGACCAAAUGUGUAAGUAACUAUGCACGUCUUGACGGUACCUGAUCAGAAAGCCACGGCUAAUUACGU